rnacentral:rRNA from 1 species
CUUCGGAAUGAAGUUCUAAUGACUGAGCGGCGGACGGGUGAGUAACGCGUGGGUGACCUGCCACAUACAGGGGAUAACAGACAGAAAUGUCUGCUAAUACCGCAUAAGCGCACAGUGCUGCAUGGCACAGUGUGAAAAACUCCGGUGGUAUGAGAUGGACCCGCGUCUGAUUAGCUAGUUGGUAAGGUAACGGCUUACCAAGGCGACGAUCAGUAGCCCGGCCUGAGAGGGUGAACGGCCACAUUGGGACUGAGACACGGCCCAAACUCCUACGGGAGGCAGCAGUGGGGAAUAUUGCACAAUGGGGGAAACCCUGAUGCAGCGACGCCGCGUGAAGGAAGAAGUAUUUCGGUAUGUAAACUUCUAUCAGCAGGGAAGUAAAAUGACGGUACCUGACUAAGAAGCCCCGGCUAACUACGUGCCAGCCGCAGC